rnacentral:rRNA from 1 species
AUACGGAGGGUGCAAGCGUUAUUCGGAAUCACUGGGCGUAAAGGACGCGUAGGCGGGUUGGCAAGUCAGAUGUGAAAUCCUACAGCUUAACUGUAGAACUGCAUUUGAAACUGCUAACCUAGAGUAUGGGAGGGGGAGAUGGAAUUAGUGGUGUAGGGGUAAAAUCCGUAGAUAUCACUAGGAAUACCGAAAGCGAAGGCGAUCUCCUGGAACAUAACUGACGCUAAGGCGUGAAAGCGUGGGGAGCAACCAGGAUUAGAAACCCCAGUAGUCC